rnacentral:lncRNA from 8 species
GCAGACAUGGGAGAGAUGGUAGAAAAGCAAUGAUAGACGAUGCCAUCGGUUUUCUGAAGAAAAAAGUGCCUGAUAAACCCAAUGCUGACACCACAAUGCCCCCUUACGGUGCAUCAAAUAAUUGCAUCGCUCUUACAACUAUUCGGUUCCUUUUGAACAAAGAGUGUUACCCCUUUACUAUUCAUGUGUAUUGCUCUGUGGGGGAGUAAUCUGUUUAUGACUGAUAAUAGGACGUAACACAGGAAUGAGGAGAAAACAAUCAUUUGGAUCCCACACAACACAUUGUUGUUGUACCUAAAUAAAUCCACAAGAGGGCGACAUAUAAACAUUUCUUAAAACCAUUUAACCUCCACUGCGCUCCUCCAAAAAAACUAUAGUGAUGUCAUAGACGCCUUCAGUCCAUGACGUAGCCGACUAACUAAAAGUCGGCGUCUGCAAAAAUGCUCUUUUAUCGUAACUCGACUUGAAAGUAGCCAAGCCGAAACAGUCAAUGACAUGCUUUUUGAGAUAUACAAUUAGCUAUGGUGGAAGAAACGGUAGUACAGAGAGAUGAUGAUGAUCCCCAGAGGGAGGGGAGGGAGGUUGUUGAGGAAGAACCAGUGGCCCAGCGCAAGAAGGAGCCCAAGAAGACAGGGAAGGCGAAGAGGAAAAGUAGUGCCAAGAAGUCAGGGGAGCAGGGCAUCGAUACGGAUGCAGGAUUGAGGAAUAAACACCUGGACAGAGGAUCUGUUAUUGAGCUCUUGGAGAAGAAUGCUCUUAAGGCUGCAUUCGGCCCAGGCAACAAAGAUGAGAUGGAGGACUGCUACCCAAUCCUCAUCUCAUUCAUGCGCAAUCUUACUGAUGAGCAGUGGCAAGUGAUCUAUAAAGGAUUUAAAAAACCUAUGACAAAGGAACAGCUUGCAAAAUUGUGCAAGACCAUUGUCGACUUCAUUGCACAGACCACCCUGCAGAUCCUGCUGCCGGCCCUGGCCCGCAUUCUAGGGGUGACAGGUUUUUAUUACAACACUGACUCACUCAAGAGGGGCGGCAGUGCAAGAUCCUUCACUGCCUUUGAGCAGAAAAGACUGGACCUCAUCCAGGAAGUUAAAUAUUUGGCGAAGGAGAUGUGUAACUGUGGCAGCAGGGCUCUCCGACCAAGAUCUAGCACACCCUCUUCCAAGAGUUCCCAGACCUCAGUGAAAUUCCACCUGGGAAUGCCAGAGGACAGUAUCAUCAGCAGUGUCCAGGAGCAACUCUCUGACCAUGAGAUUUUGGCCUCUUGCCCACCUGAGCUGACCGUUGGUCUUAUCAAGGAGGUGCUUGAACAGCUCAACUUGGCCCUCUCUUUGACCAUCAGUAGAACCAUUUCAGGGCGGUCUUCCCCCAUUGCCUCUGGUACUCAGGCCGCUGAACAGAUGAUUAACAUGGUCCAGAAGUUUUUCUAUGAUCACACUGCUCCAGAGGACCAAUUAGAUGUUGAUUCCUACAUUCCAUCUGCAACAGAAGAGGUGAUCACUGUUAUUGCAGACAUGGUGGAUGAAUUGGAAGGAGAAGAUGCAGACUCGGUUAAGCUGCUUCAAGAAGUGGCUGUGAAAGUUAAAAUGUUGGCAUCUGGCAGUGACCUUGCAGUGGAGCAACUGGACGAUGAAGACUUUUCUUUCCCAAAGGAGCUGAACUUGUGUAUAUCUUGCAAGGCAUUGGUGAAAAACCUUGACAUUCUGUCAAGUGACAAGUUCAAGACCAAAGCCUCAAAGUCUGUGAGCGAGAUUCUAGUGAGAUGGUUCCCCAGGGGAACCUCUGGUUUGGUUCAACAUUCCCAUUCAUUUACUGCCACUCCCAGCUUGAUGAAUGUGUCUGACCCUGACACGAUCCAUCAUUCCGUGGCCACUGGUCUCAUACAGACCAAUAUGGAUUUCGAGGCGCCAAAUAUAAUUGAUAGCUUUGUUGAAGAUGUCAAAGGCAUUGUGACGCAAGCUGAAUUAGAUAAGCCACCAAGCACCCAGAGAGAUCCGCAAGUGGGACACUGUAUGUCAAAGCGAAAACCCUUUCACAUGUCUCGUAGACUCUGCGACAGGCUCCAGGCAAAGAUAAAAGAAUUAUUUCAAAGAACGGGUGGAGCUGCAUUCCAAAGGGAAGAACUUCUGGAGAAAGCUGACUCCCGUGCUGUGCUUCUGGAGCACACUGACUCCAGUGUUCUGCCUGGUUCAAUCCUGAACUCUUCUUCAGCAAGUAGGAGUGAAUCACUCAUAGCAGAAUGCAGUUCAUCUGCUGUUCCUGGCUCUGUAGAAGAGAAACCAUUUGAGACCAGAGCAGAUUGUACUCAUGGUCAGAACUCUCUUCUACUCAGUAAGAGUGAGGCCAUACUGCAAGAGGUCAACUCAACUGGGCGUGGUGCUCUCCACAAAUGCCAGAGUGCGAACUCCCAACCUUUACUGGUUCUCUGUGAUCCAAAUCUGGAGCCCUGCACCAAAGAGAUCUUAUCUCAGAUUGUGACUGUGUAUAGGUCCGAGAUGGCAGAUUUGGAAUCAACGUCCAGUGUUGUAGAGAGUUCCUCUUACAACUCCUUUGAAGUCUGUGACUUUUUGGAUGGUAUCAUGUCUUACCUAGAAGACAUGCCUGUGUCCAGUUCCUCAUCAUUGGAGGGAGUAAGUGUUACUCCAGCCUCAGUCAUUGAGCAGCUUUCAAGUGAAGUGUUUCAGAAGAAGGCAACCAACAAAGUCAGAAAAAUACUGAACAAAUCUGUCAAUCUCUUCCCCAGCGAAGUCGGUUCAAGUCAGACAGAUUCUCAGAUGUCGCCAGCCUUAUCCACCAUUUCCUCGAAGCAUACAGAUUCAGUUGCUUUUGAAAUUGUUGGAUCAAUUGCAAAUGAUAUGAAGAGCAUUUUCCUGCUCACAGAGUCUCCUACUAAUCUAUGGCAGGCAGACUCUAUGCUUCAACUGAGUGAUGAGAAAACCUCAGAAGCCACUAAGGCUGCAGCUGUAAGCUCCCAGACUGGUGUGGAAGUAUCUGAGAAGAAAAUAUGGAUAACUGCAAAGACUAUUUACCACAAUGUGAAGGCAAAGAUGAGGAAUUAUUUCUCAUUGCAAAGACAAGCCAAAGCAACGAAGGCUCAAGCCAAAAAGACCCUCAGCCAUAUUCUGCUUUCCAUUCAGAAAGAACUGUCAAAAUCUGACCAAAUGGUGGCUGCAGGACAGCUUUCACAAAUAGAUAAAGUGGUUGGAACUAUGCUGGAGAACAUUGAGAAGAUAAGCAGCGAAUGUGGCGAGGAAUUGGUCGAUCAAGAGUCACUGCGGUCUUCCUCCUCGUUGUCAUUCUCAACUGCCAAAUCACAGAAGACAGAGUGGGAAUUUGCACUCCCUGGCACUCCCAUUCCUUCUGAGUUACCCGAAAGUACUGCUCAGCCCAUUGUAAGAUGCUCAGUCAUCGACAUGAGCGAAUCUACUAAGCCAAAAACAUUGGUGUGUGAUGCCAGAACAAGCAUGUUUGCCAUAGCAGAUAGCAUCAUGAAGAAGGUAUAUCCAGAGGCUGAAGGGCAGGUUACAUCUCACCCUGAUCUAACAGAUGCAAUAGCUAGACUGGAGGAGCUCAUAUCUCAGGGUAGGAUUGGUGCUCUCUCCCGUGAUCUCAGUCACCAAGUCAACCACAUAAUUUCUGAUAGCAACUUGACCCCUCUGGUACUGACAGUGGCGGCUGGAAAGAGUGCAUCUGAUACCGUCCUUUCGAAGCUGAAGAGGAAUGACAAGGUGGGGAAGCCCACAACCUAUGAGCUGGUUCAGCUGUUUGUAGAGGAGUCUGUUAAGUGCCUCCUGCUUCCUAGUUUUGUGCCCUAUUUAACUUCAAUGAGUUUGGCUCAGGGGGCCAAGGUGUUGGCUAGAGUGUCUGAAGAUAGAAUUUCAUGCUCUUCUUCUUCAUCAGUAUUUAGUGACACAGUCAGUCUCUUUACCAAAGUUAUGGUAAGCCAGGUCAUGGACUCUGUGGUUUCAGAUGCACAAAGUAGAGGAUCCUCUCCAACUGAAUCUCUCCGAACAUCUGAAACCACUAUAUCUGAUGUAGGCAAUCUAUUGAGUGGCAAGUCCUCCCCUCGGCUGUCUCUUUCUGGCGUCAUUAUGGCAACAAGCGAGACCUCCAAUGCAGCACAAAUCUUUAAGGCCAACAUUGAUGGAGAGGAAGUGGAUACCACCAGUCAUUCUGGUGUAGCUCAAAACAUUGUCAGGGACGAUAUGUCAACCAGCCCAGACAUGGUCAAAGAUGUCCCACUUCGAACCCCAUCCUCUGAUAACUUGGGCAGUGAUGAUGACUUCACCGGCCUCAUCAGCAUGUUAGUGGUGAGAAUUCUAACAAAAAUCCAAACCCCAACAGAAGAUUACCCAGUUGACAUCACACGCAAGUCACAAGACCUGAUCCCCAAAGUUAUGGAUGUCUUCUGUGCAUGGUCAGGCUGCUCUGAGACACAAGCCUAUCCAGAGAACCUGAGGAUUCAUAAAGUCUACAGGGCCAUCUACAAAAAUCUGUUGGAGGAGUUUGGCUCAGAGAAAAUCCUCCAACAGGCCGUGUCGACUCAGGACUCUUCAUUUGAUAGGAUUCUUGUCAAGUCUUUGAGUGAAGAGCUUCUCCACAGAUGUAAUGAGGCAUUGAGGGCAGCCUCAAGAACAUCAGUCAAAACCACCGGGCCUAAGGCACUUCCGCUGGAUGAGGAUGUGAGGGCUAGCAGCGGGAAAUUAUCUUUCCUACAAAGACUGGUCAGGCUGACAAGCAACUUAAAGCUAUUCAAGAAGGGGAAGAAGAAGGAUUCCCACCGCUCUGAAUCAGAACAAGUACAGACCACUGCUGAAGAUGGCAUGCUGCCCAGCAUAGUGCCACAUGCUGCCAUGUCUGCACUACCAAAGGAUCUCCCCGCCAGCUCCCAACAGGAGACGCCGCACAAACGUCCACUUCUCGUCAGGAUGUUUUCUGCCAUCUCCAAAGGCCUGUUCAAGCCCUUCAAACAAUCCUUAAAGACCAAGUAA